UACGUAGGGUGCGAGCGUUAAUCGGAAUUACUGGGCGUAAAGCGUGCGCAGGCGGGCGCUUAAGCCAGACGUGAAAUCCCCGAGCUUAACUUGGGAAUGGCGUUUGGGACUGGGUGCCUUGAGUGCGGCAGAGGGGGGUGGAAUUCCACGUGUAGCAGUGAAAUGCGUAGAGAUGUGGAGGAACACCGAUGGCGAAGGCAGCCCCCUGGGCCGACACUGACGCUCAGGCACGAAAGCGUGGGGAGCAAACAGG
rnacentral:rRNA from 1 species